GCGCUAGAGGGGGUUAGUCGACAACGAAAAUGCCUGCACCGCUCGCAGGGGACUUCGGCUAUCACAGUCGAGGGAGGUUGAAAACCCCACUUCAAAACCCGUCGGAAUGUUUUGAAAAAAUGUUGAUGGCAAUGGAGAAAUGUGAACAGAGGAGAGAAAGUAGCGGAUUGUAAAGGAUAGACGGUAUUUUCCAGUUGGACAGAAGGCACAGGAGGGAAAUGGCACACUGACAAGUCAGAGGAGCAGGAGAUGAAGGAGGCGAGGGUUGGCGUUUGACGCUUACAGAGUUUUGGAAGGGAAAGGACCCUUCCAUUCCAUGCCUUUCUCCGCUGCGAUGUUUUUGUGCCACACACCGUAGCUGAAGACGUUUCACUUAAUGCCUUACGGUAAAUUGGAAGGAAAGAGAGGAGAGCAAGAAAUGUCCCACGUCAAAAAUUCUGCUGCGUGGAGAGAAAUGCGAAAUACAAGCGAUUUCGAGAAUGUGAGGAAGGGUUCUGAUUGGUGACUGUACUCAUCCUCAUUAGGAAUUCAUACACCUCUGCCUCUCUUUGAAGGUGUCCACGCCAACUUAAAUACAUGCAGAUCAUUUCUAAAAAGAUACCAUGUGUGGAAUUUAUAUAUUGGCACUUAAAAGAGUAAAAUCUGAUUUUGAUACUCAUUUUGCCACUCUUACUGAUAUUCAUUGACCACAUGGGCACUUGCAAACUCAUUUUAGAGUUUAUAAACUCAGUUGUCAAAUAAAAAGGCGACAUUAUGACCAUUAUGAUAUAAAUCAUUGUGUCUAAAUAAUGUUCUGAGAAAUGUUUAAUGAUUCAUUAUCUGAUAAUUUUAUUCAAAGUGUUUUUAUAUACUGUCAAACAUAUAUUUCCAUGACCUUUUAUAAUUAAAUUUUCAUUUUUAAAUGUUGGCUUACAGUAAAUCUAUAAACUUCAUUAAUAAUUCACUAAAAGAAAAAUCGUUCAAGAAGACACUCGUUAUAAAUUGAAGGAAUGUAUAAUCUUAUCAUCUUAAAAAUAUCAACCAUGUGAAUCUAUUUCUAUACUUUUACUUUUGAAAUUAACUAGACUUGCAAGGGAAAAAUUUUUAAUGGAACAUCACCAAAAGGAAGUUAUUUCAGUAUAAUUCCUAACAUAAAAUAUUUUAAAAUCAAAGUUUAAAAUCAAGUUCUGAUGUUUUACUUGAGUGUUACAUUUUAGAGAAUAUCCUAUAAAACACCAAGAUGCUUCACUUAAAAUUAGACUAGAAGGCAGUACUUUUAGUGGAAGGAAGGGGAAAAGGCAGAAAAAAAAGGAGGAGAAAUAAAUAGAGAGGAAAACUUAGAUUCGUUUCUAGGACUCUCGCUCAGAAAUCGUGGCACAGUGCCUGAAACUGUUACUUCAAAGUACCAAUAAUGCGCUUGAUUAACCUGAAUUUCUAGUCCCCCCUGCACUGUACUUACAGUUCAGCUACAGUUCAUGAUUUGUAUCUGUUUAAAUGAGCCCAAGUCAAGCUUGACAUAAUAUAUGUAUAUAUAUAUAUAUAUACCUGGUCAGAUAAUUGAGAGUCAUAUUCUUGUCUUGGCUUUUAAGAAAAAAAAAUUACAAGAUUUUUCCCAGUAUUAAAACAUACUUCACAUGUUUACGUAUGUUUGGAUGCUGUCUAUUGCAUGUCUAGAAGAUAAUGACAUCUUAAGUAAAAACUCAUCUAAAAAAUGAGUUAAAAUACGAUCACUGUCUUUGACAAUAGCUAGAUUCCAUGAGUUUCACAUGAUUAUUAACGUUAAAACAUGAUGGUAAAAAAGACCAUUUAUGUUUUUUAUAUAUGUGUGUGUGUGUGUAUGUAUGUGUGUGACACACACAGAUGCACAAUGCACAAAUGUGUAUGUGCAUGUCUCUCUAAAAUAUUUGUUUAGUUCUUUUAUGUGCUCAAUUCUCUUCACUCAGGGAAGAGUUAAUGGUAAACUACUUUGCGUAACAAUAAUUUCUCUUAUAAAGCUAACAUUUAAAAUAUAGUCAUGGUUAUCUAUGUAAGCUAGAUGCAAUUGCACUUAGAAAUGUACUUCCUUUUUGAUUUUCUAGCAGUGUUGAUAUAUUUACUGACAUGCGACAGUUUCAAAAUUAUAAGCUACUCAAUGAACCACAUGCAAUAUUCAUGUAGAUUUAUCUGCACUUGUCUGUUUGAAUCAUACCAAUACUCAGAAAAGCAUUCAUGUCUCAUUUUUCAGAACUAUAUUGUUCAGAAUUCUUUUGUAUUCUCUCAGACUAUUGUUCUUCAUGAUAUAUGUGGUCUGGAUUCAGGUAAAAAAUGAUGAAAUUUUUUACUAAAUAAAGGAUAUAUGACAUUAAAAA